AUUAGGGUUUGGUUUAGGGUUUGAUUUAGGGUUUGAUUUAGGGUUUGAUUUAGGGUUUAGGGUUUGAAAUAGGGUUUAAUUUAAGAUUUGUUUAGGAUUUGACUUAGGGUUUAGGAUUUAUUAGGGUUUAAGAUUUAAUUAGGUUUGGUCUAAAGUUUGAGUGAAAUUCAAUAGGGUUUUAACUAGAAUUAAAUUAAGGUUGAAUUGACAUAUAUUUGAGUAAUAUUUGUGAUCAUUCUAAUAUUUCUUUAAGAAUUUUAUUGUUUGUUUGAAAUUUCUUUGAGUUGUUUUGAAUUUGAUUACGUUUAUUUACCAUUAUUGUAGUCUAAUUAGAGCAUUGUUAGUAUUCUAUUAGAAUUAAGAUUUUGUUAUUGUAAUUCCUAUUCUUCUUUCUACAGCCAGGUGCCCGGAGCAUUCUCAAGCAAGACUUCACACAUUACGACACCG
rnacentral:lncRNA from 1 species